GUAGAUCAUCUACCUCGAGGACUGGGAUAGCUGCGGGAAACUGCAGGUAAUACCGGAUAACGUCUCCGGACCAAAGGUGUGAGUCCGCCUCGAGAUGAGUCUGCAUCCUAUUAGCUUGUUGGUGGGGUAACGGCCUACCAAGGCAAUGAUGGGUAGCGGGUGUGAGAGCACGACCCGCGUCAUUGGGACUGAGACACUGCCCAGACACCUACGGGUGGCUGCAGUCGAGAAUCUUCGGCAAUGGACGCAAGUCUGACCGAGCGACGCCGCGUGUGGGAUGAAGGCCUUCGGGUUGUAAACCACUGUCAGUGGGGAGGAAGGCUCCGUGAAGAGCGGGGUUUGACCUAUCCGCAGAGGAAGUGAGGGCUAAGCUCGUGCCAGCAGCCGCGGUAAGACGAGCCUCACGAACGUUAUUCGGAAUUACUGGGCUUAAAGGGUGCGUAGGCGGCGCGGAAAGUAGGGUGUGAAAUCCCUCGGCUCAACCGAGGAACUGCGCUCUAAACUACCGUGCUC
rnacentral:rRNA from 1 species